rnacentral:rRNA from 1 species
CACGUAGGGCGCAAGCGUUGUCCGGAAUUAUUGGGCGUAAAGAGCUCGUAGGCGGUCUGUUGCGUCCGCUGUGAAAACCCGGGGCUUAACCCUGGGCUGGCAGUGGAUACGGACAGACUAGAGGUAGGUAGGGGAGAAUGGAAUUCCCGGUGUAGCGGUGAAAUGCGCAGAUAUCGGGAGGAACACCGGUGGCGAAGGCGGGUCUCUGGACAGUUCCUGACGCUGAGGCACGAAGGCCAGGGGAGCAAACGGG